rnacentral:snRNA from 1 species
AUGGCUUCUCAGCCUUUUGGCUAAGAUCAAGUGUAUCAUUUGCUCUUAUCAGUUUAACACUCCUCAUCACCUGAAACCUUCCUUGUCUUUUUUUUGGUCUUUUUGAGACAGGGUCUUGCUAUGCAGUUCAGGCUGGCCUUGAGUUCACUUUGUAGCCCAGGCUGGUCUUGAACUCACAACGA